AGUUUGUGAUGUGGGCAUUUUUUUAACAUUGUUUUGAAAGGCUCCCACGCCUCGUACAGGGAUUCUCUUUCAAAUUGUUUAAAAUUGGCGAUUUCUCACCUCAGUU
rfam:Gossypium raimondii chromosome 11, whole genome shotgun sequence.